UAGAUGGAGGAAGUUGUCAUCUCUCUCCUUGAAUGGUGGCUGAAAUAGUGAAAUGGUACCCGAAAUAGAGAAACGAGUGGAGGAAGCGGACAACGCCACUAGUCUCCCUCUCCCGUGCAUGCAGCGAACGGUUCGUCAUCAUUCAUCAGUUCCGAGGAGAUUUGGAAUGUGUCUGCCUAAUCCCGAUCUCAUUCCCUCCAUCACAUCCGGCCGGCGACAGCGACGACCAAGUUGGAUCGAUUGAAUCCAGUUGAAGCUAAUUAAGCCUCCAUUCGAUAUCACACGUUGAUUUGAGGCCAGCCGAGCCGAGCGGCGGCCGGCGGCGACAUGGCGCGGUCGAGCGCGGACGACAUGGAGCUGAAGCGCGGGUGCGAGGCCGGGAUCCUCGCCAAGGGGGACCGGGACAAGGUGGUGAUGUGCAUGCGCGUCGCCAAGAGCCGCGGCGGCGGCGGCGGCUUGGCCAAGGUCAAGCUCACCUCCCGCCACAAUAUGGCCAAGCCCCGCGUCCUCGCCGUCACCGCCAAGGUCAAAGGGCAGAAGACCAAGUCGUUCCUGCGGGUGCUCAAGUACUCCAAUGGCGGCGUCCUCGAGCCGGCAAAAGUGUACAAGAUCAAGCAUCUCCACAAGAUAGAGGUCGCCCAAAACGAUCCCAGCGGCUGCACCUUCGUCUUGGGGUUUGACAACCUGAAAAGCCAGAGUAUCGCGCCUCCACAAUGGACCAUGCGCAACAAAGAGGACAGGAACCGCCUGCUGAUGUGCAUCCUCAACAUGUGCAAAGAGCACUUGGGAAACAUCCCCAAAGUCGUCGGCAUGGACGUCGUCGAGAUGGCAAUCUGGGCAAAGAACACUCAAGCAAAGGUUACACAAGUGAGCAAUAAAGAUGGGCCUGUGGAAUCACUAGUAUUAGAGGCUGAGUCGCAAGUUAUCGUUGAGAAAGACCUCGUUUCUCAGGAAGAAGAGGAGGACAUUGAGACUCUUCUUGGCAAUUAUGUUAUGGCCAUUGGUGAAGCAGAGGCUUUUUCAGAAAGGAUGAAACGCGAACUUGUAGCUCUAGAAUCUGCAAAUGUUUAUGCCCUGAUGGAAACUGAAUCUGUUGUCGAAGAGGUAUUGCAGGGUCUAGAAGUAGCCAGUAUAUGUGUUGAAGAUAUGGAUGAAUGGCUAGGGAUUUUCAAUACAAAGCUCAGGCAUAUGAGGGAGGAUAUAAAAUCUAUAGAAUGGCGUAAUAACAGACUGGAGUUGCAAUCUGAUAGUAAUGUGGCUUUGAUUGAUGAGGUAGACAAAUUGCUUGUGCUGCUGCAGAUUCCACCUGAGUAUGAAGCAUCAUUAACUGGAGGAUCAUUUGAUGAAGGAAAUAUGGUUAAGAACAUUGAAGCCUGUGACUGGUUAACCAGUGCUAUAAAGAACCUAGAAGCAUCCAACAUAGACCCAAUCUAUGUAAAAUUGCGUGCUGUUAGGGAAAAACGUGCAGAAUUUGUACUUCUUAAGUGCACCUUCGUUCGGAGGGCAUCAGAAUUUUUAAGGAAUUACUUUCCUAGUUUGAUUGAUUCUAUGCUAAAUGACAAAGGAAACUUCUCUGAGCGAGGUCAUCUGCAGAGGCCUGAUCACGCUGAUAUGAGGUACAAAUGCAGGACUUAUGCACGGCUUCUACAACACAUCAAGAGUUUGGACAAGAGUUGUAUGAUGCCUUUGCGGAAAGCUUACUGCCAUUCACUGAACAUGCUAAUUCGACGUGAGUCUCGUGACUUUUCUAAUGAACUCCGUAAUAGUUCAAAAGCAUCAAAGAGCAGCACGCCAUUGUUUGAGGGUCCUGCAGGUGCAAACCAGCCUGCAAGUAUUACAGAUAGUCCUGCAGAUGCAUACUCCAAGAUGAUUACUGUUUUCAUUCCACUUCUUGUUGAUGAGAGCUCAUUCCUUGCACAUUUUAUGUGCUUUGAAGUUUCCGCACUUUCUCAAUCUGAUGCUUCAAGUAGCAAUCCUAAUGCUGAAUCAACUAGUACUUCUUCGGUUGCAUUAGAAGCUUCUGCAAGCAAAACAAGUAACAAUCCAGCUGAGCUGGGUGCACUAAAUCAAUGCCUUCAGGAGUUGCUUGAUGGUAUUCAGGAGGACUUUUAUGCUUUGGUUGACUGGGCAUUCAAGCUAGAUCCACUGAGUUGCAUAUCUAUGCACGGAAUAACAGAUCGGUAUCUUUCUGGUCAGAAAGCAGAGGUCUCCGGAUAUGUACAAGUGUUGCUUGAUGACUUGGAGACAAGAAUAACAAUUUUGUUUAGCAGGUUUGUUGAUGAUGCCUGCUACCAGAUUGAGAAGUAUGAGCGCAAUGUGCGGCAAGUUGGAGUUGUUCCCUAUAUUCCCAGGUUCUCACAACUUGCAGCACGUAUGGAGCAAUAUAUCAAUGGAUCCAGGGAUCUAGUUGACCAGGCAUAUACUAAAAUCGUGAGUAUUAUGUUUGUUAUACUGGAGAAAAUUGCUCAAGUGGAACCUAAAUAUGUUGAUAUUGUACUUUUGGAAAACUAUGCUGCUUUCCAGCACAGCUUAUAUGAUUUGGCAAAUGUUGUGCCAACACUUGCUAAAUAUUAUCAUCAAGCUAGUGAAGCCUAUGAACAAGCUUGUUCACGCCAUAUCAAUUUGGUCAUAUAUAUUCACUUUGAAAAGCUAUUCCAGUUUGCUCGUAAAAUUGAGGAAUUAAUGUACAACAUGAGUCCUGAGGAGAUACCCUUCCAAGUUGGAAUGUCAAAGGUAGAUUUUCGCAAGAUGUUGAAGUCUAGCUUAACUGGACUUGACAAGACAAUCAAUGCAAUGUACAGAAAACUACAGAAGAAUAUGACUGCUGAGGAAUUGCUGCCUUCACUAUGGGAAAAAUGCAAGAAAGAGUUUCUUGAUAAAUAUACAACAUUCCUUAAGUUGAUUUCGAAAAUAUAUCCUGAUGAAAAGGUGACAUCUGUGAACGAAAUGAGGGAUAUUCUAGCUUCACUGUAGCUGUUUCAUUAGAAGGUUAGCAUAUUCAUUGGUUUGCUUGCACAUAAGUUGACCUGAUUCGCAUCAUCUCAGGUUCUUUGGAGAAUAAUUAUCAGUUUGUGAAGAAAAGGAGAUCCCCUUGUUUGGGUAUUGGGUUGCCUCGGACAGAUAUUGUAGCUGGCUGCUGGAGAAGAGAACGAAGCACAUCUGACCCAAGGGUCGUUGUUAACUGAAGAAGCUUAGGACUGGUAACAUUGUGGUAUUAGCUAUCAAGAUACUAGUAGGCACGUCAAAUUUGUCACAUAUGGACAAUGCUACGUGUGACAAGAAACACAGCCACGCACGCAAGCAUACCUUGAUAUGACAGUCCAGCGCGGGAUGUAAUAUGUUCCAAUUGGUUACAACA